GAUUUUUCCAAAUUCUUUUUAUCUAAAAAUCCCCUUGAAAACACGGUUAUAGAGCGUGCAUACCGAUGUAAACAUUGGCAGAAACACACCUUUAGUUUAUAUAAGUGAUAUCUAUCAUUAUAUAUAACUUAAACAUUAAUUUUCUUCUUAC